rnacentral:rRNA from 1 species
CGGUAAUUCCAGCUCCAAUAGCGUAUACUAAAGUUGUUGCAGUUAAAAAGCUCGUAGUUGGAUUUCUGCGGGGACGGAGCGGCCGGCCGCAACUUGCGACUCGAGCUAGCGCUUUCCCCGCAUCCUGCCGCGAACCGUGCUACCAUUAGUUUGGUGGCGCUGGGGAUCGGCUCGAUUACUUUGAGAAAAAUAGAGUGUUCAAAGCAGGCCACACGCCUUGAAUAAGUUAGCAUGGAAUAAUGACUAAGGACUUUGGUUCUUUUCGUUGGUGUUCGGGACUGAAGUAAUGAUUGAUAGGGACAGUUGGGGCGGUCCGUAUUCCAAAGCGAGAGGUGAAAUUCUUAGACCUUCGGAAGACGAACAGCUGCGAAAGCGUUCCGCAAGGAUGUUCCCUUUGAUCAAGAACGAAAGUUGGGGGAUCGAAGACGAUCAGAUACCGUCGUAGUCUCAACUAUAAACUAUACCAGCUAGGGAUCGGCCAACGUUUAAUUAUUCGACUUGGUCGGCACCUUAUGAGAAAUCAAAGCAUCUGGGUUCCGGGGGGAGUAUGGUCGCAAGGCUGAAACUUAAAGGAAUUGACGGAAGGGCACCACCAGCCGUGGAGCCUGUGGCUUAAUUUGACUCAACACGGGAAAACUUACCAGGUCCGGACAUAGUAAGGAUUGACAGAUUGAUAGCUCUUUCUUGAUUCUGUGGGUGGUGGUGCAUGGCCGUUUUUAGUCGGUGGAUGUGAUCUGUCUGCUUAAUUGCGUUAACGGACGAGACCCCAGCCUGCUAAAUAGCGCGGCCGAGCUUUGCUCGGUGCGAGCUUCUUAGAGGGACCAUGAUGCGCGAUAGCACAAGGAAGUUUGGGGCAACAACAGGUCUGUGAUGCCCUUAGAUGUUCUGGGCCGCACACGGGCUACACUGGCGCCUGCAACGAGCAUAUCAGCUGGCCCGAGAGGGUCUUGGCUAAUCUUUGGAACCGGCGCCGUGCUUGGGAUUGACCAUUGCAAUUGUUGGUCAUGCAACGAGGAAUGCCUUGUAAACGCGAGUCAUCAGCUCGCAUUGAAUACGUCCCUGCCCUUUGUACACACCGCCCGUCGCUCCUACCGAUGAAUGUUCCGAUGAAAUUUUCGGAGAGCGCCGGAGAACGGGGCUCCGCCCUGCAGAACUGGAGGCUCAAAGUCACUUAAAUCUGAACAUUUCGAGGAAGGAGAAGUCGUAACAAGGUAACC